rnacentral:rRNA from 1 species
UAACCCCGUCCGCGGCCCGCGACCAACCCCCGGUGAAACCCCUUCGACGAGUCGAGUUGUUUGGGAAUGCAGCUCAAAACGGGUGGUAAAUUCCAUCUAAAGCUAAAUACCGGCCGGAGACCGAUAGCGCACAAGUAGAGUGAUCGAAAGAUGAAAAGCACUUUGGAAAGAGAGUCAAACAGCACGUGAAAUUGUUGAAAGGGAAGCGCUUGCGACCAGACCUGCCCGCGGGCGAUCAGCCCCCGUUCUCGGGGGUGCACUCGCCCGCGACCAGGCCAGCAUCGGUCCGGGCGGCCGGAGAAAGGCCGGGGGAACGUAGCUCCCCACGCGGGGAGUCUUAUAGCCCCCGGCGCCAUACGGCCAGCCCGGACCGAGGACCGCGCUCCGGCGAGGAUGCUGGCGUAAUGGUCGUCAGCGGCCCGUCUUGAAACACGGACCAAGGAGUCUAACGUCUAUGCGAGUGUUUGGGCGUCAAACCCACGCGCGGAAUGAAAGUGAACGGAGGUGAGAACCCCCCCCCGCGGGGGGCGCAUCAUCGACCGAUCCAGAGGUCUUCGGAUGGAUUCGAGUACGAGCAUAGCCGUGGGGACCCGAAAGACGGUGAACUAUACUUGAAUAGGGUGAAGCCAGAGGAAACUCUGGUGGAGGCUCGCAGCGGUUCUGACGUGCAAAUCGAUCGUCGAAUUUGGGUAUAGGGGCGAAAGA